rnacentral:rRNA from 1 species
AUUACAACAGCCACUGUUUACUUGAUCUUGACUAUCCUACUUGGAUAACUGUGGUAAUUCUAGAGCUAAUACACGCAAACAAGCUCCGACCUUACGGGACGAGCGCAUUUAUUAGACCAAAACCAAUCGGGCUUCGGCCUGAGACGUUGGUGACUCUGAAUAACUGAGCUGAUCGCAUGGUCUUUGUACCGGCGACGUAUCUUUCAAGUGUCUGCCUUAUCAACUUUCGAUGGUAGUUUAUGUGCCUACCAUGGUUGUUACGGGUAACGGAGAAUAAGGGUUCGACUCCGGAGAGGGAGCCUGAGAAACGGCUACCACAUCCAAGGAAGGCAGCAGGCGCGCAAAUUACCCACUCUCGGCACGAGGAGGUAGUGACGAAAAAUAACGAGGCGGUUCUCUAUGAGGCCCGCUAUCGGAAUGAGUACAAUUUAAACCCUUUAACGAGGACCUAUGAGAGGGCAAGUCUGGUGCCAGCAGCCGCGGUAAUUCCAGCUCUCAAGGUGUAUAUCGCCAUUGCUGCGGUUAAAAAGCUCGUAGUUGGAUCUGCGCCUUCGGACUCGGUCCGCCCAACGGGUGUGAACUGGGAUCCAAGGCUUAUACUGCUGGUUUUCCCUUGAUGCUCUUUACUGGGUGUCUUGGGUGGCUAGCGAGUUUACUUUGAAAAAAUUAGAGUGCUCAAAACAGGCUAACGCCUGAAUACUCGUGCAUGGAAUAAUAGAAUAAGACCACGGUUCUAUUUUAUUGGUUUUCGGAACUGUGAUAAUGGUUAAGAGGGACAGACGGGGGCAUUCGUAUCGCUGCGUGAGAGGUGAAAUUCUUGGACCGCAGCGAGACGCCCUACUGCGAAAGCAUUUGCCAAGAA